UACAGAGGGGGCAAGCGUUAUUCGGAAUUAUUGGGCGUAAAGGGCGCGUAGGCGGCCUGGCAAGUGGAAGGUGAAAUCCCUCGGCUUAACUGAGGAACUGCUCUCCAAACUGCUUGGCUUGAGAUCGGGAGAGGUGAGUGGAAUUCCCAGUGUAGCGGUGAAAUGCGUAGAUAUUGGGAGGAACACCAGUGGCGAAGGCGGCUCACUGGAUCGGAACUGACGCUGAUGCGCGAAAGCGUGGGGAGCAAACGGGG
rnacentral:rRNA from 1 species